rnacentral:rRNA from 1 species
UACGUAGGGUGCAAGCGUUGUUCGGAAUUACUGGGCGUAAAGCGUGCGCAGGCGGUUUGUUUUGUCAGGUGUGAAAUCCCCGGGCUUAACCUGGGAACUGCGGUUGUAACUGGCAAGCUAGAGUGUGGCAGAGGGGGGUGGAAUUCCAAGUGUAGCAGUGAAAUGCGUAGAUAUUUGGAGGAACACCAAUGGCGAAGGCAGCCCCCUGGGUUAACACUGACGCUCAUGCACGAAAGCGUGGGGAGCAAACAGG